rnacentral:tRNA from 1 species
UAAGCGUAACAUAAACAAAUAAAUGUAUCUCACUUACAUUGAGGUAAUGCUCGUGCUUCGAGUCGCUUAUA